AGGGUCACGGGGUCGACGGCCCGGGUCACCAGGAGGUAGUCCCGCAUGACGAGGGCGUGGCGGCCCUC
rnacentral:sRNA from 1 species